GAAGUCGUAACAAGGUUUCCGUAUAUUCACUUGCGGAUGAUAGGGGCAGUGAAAAGCUGCUAACCCCUAGUGAGUUCUCCACUCUUUUGUACACAGAGAGCUCGCAACACCAUCAAAUUGCCGGGACAUCCUGUUCAUGCUGCUGGUACCUCCAGGCAGAGGGAAACCUUGCUCUGGAACCAUGGUGAAAGCCGUGGGUAUGGUAAAAAUCUAGCAGUUAGGGACGAUCGGCAGCCAAGCGCUAAUGGAGCCUCAUUCUUGAGGCUCUGAGGCGUGCAGUUCACAGACUAAAUGGUGGUGGGUUCCCUUCACACUGGGAGCUUAAGAUAUAGUCGGUCCCCCACCGCAAGGUGGGCUCAUGGGAGGAUAGCCUGGUAAAGGCUGGAGAGCCCAUGAGCAGCUUGGUGUGUGUCCACUCAACCAAGCUGGGGUAAACGAGGUGAACCUGCGGAAGGAUCAUUG
rnacentral:ncRNA from 1 species